UUACGGUCAUAUCACGCUGAAAAAAAACCCGUCCUUGUUCGAUCACCGAAGUUAAGCAAUGUUGAGCCUGGUCAGUACUUUGAUGGAGGCCGCUUGGAAACAUUGAGUACUGUAA